rnacentral:rRNA from 1 species
GUGAGGAAUUUUCCGCAAUGGGCGAAAGCCUGACGGAGCAAUGCCGCGUGAAGGAUGAAGGCCUAUGGGUUGUAAACUUCUUUUCUCAGAAAAGAAUUAUGACGGUAUCUGAGGAAUAAGCAUCGGCUAACUCUGUGCCAGCAGCCGCGGUAAGACAGAGGAUGCAAGCGUUAUCCGGAAUGAUUGGGCGUAAAGCGUCUGUAGGUUGUUUAAAAAGUAUUCUGUCAAAGAUUAGGGCUUAACCCUAGAUAGGCAGAAUAAACUUUUAAGCUAGGGUUUGGUAGAGGCGGGGGGAAUUCCCGGUGGGGCGGUGAAAUGCGUAGAUAUCGGGAGGAACACCAAAGGCGAAGGCACUCUGCUGGGCCAAUACUAACACUGAGAGACGAAAGCGAGGGGAGCAAAUGGGAUUAGAUACCCUAGUAGUCC